rnacentral:tRNA from 1 species
GGCUCUGUAGUAUAGGCUGGAUAGUACGGCCGGCUUCGGACCGGUAAACCGGGGUUCAAAUCCUCGCAGGGCCG